rnacentral:tRNA from 1 species
GGAGAGGUGUCCGAGCGGUCGAAGGAGCACGGCUGGAAACCGUGUACCCGCCGCAAGGCGGGUCGUGGGUUCAAAUCCCACCCUCUCCGCCA